rnacentral:rRNA from 1 species
GACGAACCGUGCGAACGUUAUUCGGAAUCACUGGGCUUAAAGCGCGUGUAGGCGGGCGGCCGCGUCGGCAUUGAAAGCCCCCGGCUCAACCGGGGAAUCGGUGCCGAUACGGGUCGCCUGGAGGGGUGUAGGGGGAGCUGGAACUUCCGGUGGAGCGGUGAAAUGCGUUGAGAUCGGAAGGAACGCCCGCGGCGAAAGCGAGCUCCUGGACACUCACUGACGCUGAGACGCGAAAGCCAGGGGAGCGAAC